rnacentral:lncRNA from 1 species
AGCCAGGCAAGUACAAUGCCAAGAAAUUCUGUCUUGAGCCGACUUCCUUCACUGUCAAGGCAGAGGGUGUCACCAAGAAUUCUCCUCUGGAAUUCCAAAACACCAAGCUCAUGACACGUCUUACCUACACCCUCGAUGAGAUUGAGGGACCCUUCGAGGUGUCCUCUGAUGGCACCGUGAAAUUUGAGGAGAAGGACGGCAUUGACUACGCUGCAGUGACUGUUCAGCUCCCAGGAGGAGAGCGCGUGCCGUUCCUCUUCACCAUCAAGCAGUUGGUGGCAUCAGGGAAGCCAGACAACUUUGGUGGGGAGUUUUUGGUGCCGUCUUACCGUGGAAGCUCUUUCCUGGACCCUAAGGGAAGAGGUGCUUCCACUGGGUACGACAAUGCAGUAGCAUUGCCGGCAGGUGGAAGAGGAGACGAGGAAGAACUCGCUAAGGAGAACAACAAGAGUGC